AAAUAUGAUAAAUAGUUCUGUCCUGCAGUCCAAGCUCACUUGAUGGCAGUAUUGCACCCUUAAACUAGUCUGCCUGCCGCCGAUGGACAGAAGAAGAAGAAGAACAACAACGAUGGUGGCUACUUGAAGGCCCCUUUACUGCAGCUGUCUGUGGGCUGCAGCUCCCGCUUAAAAAGGAGACGAAGACAUGCAGCAGCUUUGGCUUCCGGUCCGAGAAAACAUGGUGCUUGGUAGGAAACCCCAGAGAGAGGAGCUCUGUUGCGUAGCUGCUGAAGCAUCCGUACCUCCGGCUGAAGCCACGUUAUCUCCUGAUCCAGGUACAGAUGAGGAAAGUAAAAGGAUUGACGUUGUUUGGUGCCAACAACACGCAUUGUCUACAGUCCAAACGGCAACCGUAAGAGGAUCCUAACAGACCUGCCAACCUCUCAGCCUACGAGCAGCAGAAUCCUCUGAGCAGCUGAUAAUUUGGCCAGAACUGUACAGCAGCAGCAGCAGAAGAGGCUGGAUGUCACAGAGUGUACA